rnacentral:lncRNA from 1 species
CAACAUUCAGGAACCUCUCGCCUUGCGCGAAUCUCCUACUGACCUGCAACCCCUGCAACGAAUUGCAAAUAUGGUAAGGGCUACCGGUAUCCAAUACCCAGUCAGUUAUAUCACAAAUAGAGAAAUUGCAAGGAGUUAUCAUAUAAAUACCUUAUCCAGCAACAACUUGCUGCUUUCUCUGCCUGUUCGGAUCCAGGGAGGCAAUGUACUGGGGACAGUUCCUCUUCCAGUGCCCCCGCUCCUUGCAAAAGAAGCAUUCAGCUUGACUCUUAUCGGGUUUGAUCUUUUUGGUCUGACCUUACACA